UGUCAUGCCGGCUUUCAUUUCUGUAAUGAAACAGAAAAAUUACAAAACACAAUUUAAACAACAAAAAGGAAAGUACUACAUUAAUGAAAUGUAUAAUAAAAGUGUUAGAAAUGCUUUGAGUAGUAAAAAGUUGCAUUUUGCAAAAAAUUUAGGAAAAUAUAGACAUAAAUAGUUUCGCGCGCAAUGAAAGAGGGAAAAAGAAAAGGUUGAAGUGCAGUCCAUUCCGAAUUGAGAAUUUUUAUAUUUCAGAAUUCAGACGCACGCAUUAAUGCACUUAUUUAAAAGUAUUUGUUUUUCUCGAGGGCAAUAGAUAAUGUAUUUUAUAGCAGUACCGAUCAGAUGGCUGGAAUAUCUGACAACCAAAAAGGGCCCACUAUACCACAGACAAACAAAGAGGCUGGUGCCACUACGGAGUUUAUUUGCCCUGCGCACGGUUAGAAACUGGUCAAAUAACUAUGUUGCCCUCUGCUGUAGAACUCUGCAGCCGCCAUCGCCCCGCUUAGCGCGGCCAUCUCCCAUCAUCAGGCCACUACAGAAACAGCGAAAUGCAUAGCAUGGUCCACGCAGACCGAUGAAUUUUAAGCUGUUACAACUUAACUGCAACAAACUCUCUAGCAAAAUUACCGAGAUAGCCGAUUUUAUGAACCAGCAGAAAAUAUUAUGACCUGGAAAUUUCAAUUCAGCAUGCUGAGCAAUAUCGUCUUAUAGAUGAAGACAUCGACCAUAGGGGCAACACAUUAGAAUGUUAAGCCUGCUAUAAGGUCAGGCGAUGUCGAGCUCGAAAUAGUCAGCGUUUAGAAACCCUCUACCUUCUGCUGUUCGACAGGAUAUCACCUUGAGAUUGGUGCCCUUAUCAGAGUUGAAAGCCGAUUAGUAGUUGGUGACUCGAAUGCGCAUCCUUGGCAUUCAAGCCGGUCAAAUUAUCGUAGGAAAAAUUCUCGGCCGAGUAGAGAGACGAUUCGACAACGCCCCCACUAGGAUAGUGGGAUACUGUUGCAGCUUGCCUCGCCUAACAAUUGUUAGAACUAUUCAAAUUAACGCGGAACUUAACUGAGGACACUUUAGCCGUUUUUCCGUGAUCACAUUCGAUCUCAUUUCCCCGUAUAGGCAACCGUUUAAGUAAACGAGCGAGACUAGACAGGGCUAGUCAGGAUGUCUUCUGGUGUCCCCAAUACAACAUCUUCAUGACGAGGCCCAUAUGCUACCUGUGAAGAAGCAUAAUAAACUGCUCAGCAAGCAGUUCCUGCUAGGGUGUUACCACAGGUCUCACCUAUGCAGACACCAGCUUGAGCCUGAGCCACCUCCCAGAGCAUGACAGGAGGUGCCUCCUUAAUUACGCGGACGAGAUCCAGGACAAAACAGACCGACAACUACUGGGUGGACAGUGUACAGACAGGCAAUCAACGACAUUAUUCGGGAGACUUUUACCACCUUCUUACGCUCCCGACCUUCGAAUGGCUUCAUCGGAGUCCAACCACCACCCAUUGCAGACGAAGAGCUCCAACUUCCCCGAGAGUUCUGCGUAACCUUGGUACAACUACGUUCUGCAUACUGUAGCAGGUUGAUCUCCUACUUAUCCAGAAUCGACCCCGACAUACUAAACAUAUGACCGGCAUGAGCUAGACGAAGACGACCGAUGAUUACACUAUAUUGACAAGGCAAAGUUACUGCUACAACAACAACGAGCGAGGCCGAUCACUCAAAUUAAAUAUCUCUUUUGAGAUAUCCGACAACUGGUAAAUCAACACAAGUGGACUAAUUGAGUAAACCAUUUGAAUUCCCGCAGCUGCACCUCUGGUCCACACCGUAAGGUCUCCAUCGAACCGGACGAAGGGUGGUGGCUCGUAUUUCGUCGGACCUGAAGCAAUGCGAGAGCUAUUUUAGCAGGCAAUUCCUGCAUCCUUCGGUCGACAGAGGCAACGUCAUUUCCCCAAAUAUUGGCACAAUCUGCUUAACAGUGUACCGUUUGCUUUCUCUAGCGAUGAGAUGAGGUGGUCAUCAUAAAAGCUCAAGCUUACAAGGCCAUUGUCUGUAAGAGAAUAAAAAUGCUGAUCUUGAAAAAUAUUGGUCCAAUAUGAGUAGCCAACAUCUCUAAGAUAUUCAAUCUCUGUGGUCACCUUCCCAUAUCUGAAAAGUGGAAAGCAAGAAUAGUUGCCCCAUUACUGAAACACUCCGGCCAAGAGGAAACUUAUUGCCCAAUAUCUCUCCCUUCCCAGUAGAGAACACAAUUGAAGCUCUCCUACUUCCGGUGCUCAUGAUGCAUGCUAUUCUGUGUGGUCCAGUGAUUAAAGACCUAAUCAAUAAUCAACAUGUGUAAUAAAAUUGUAUGAAUCUUAGGUAAAAACUUUAUUUUAAACAUUUUAAUUCUUAAGAUCUCAAUAACUUCAUAGCCUAAUUUUCCAGUUUUACGAAAAUACCUACUUUAAUCUAAAUUUGUAACAAGAAAAUAUAUCCUGCAAUCAGAUACCUGGGUAGUCAUGGGAAUAUAUAUAUCAGUAUAUGUACGGUGGUGUGGUUUCAAUUUAAUAGGAUAAAAACUUACUGUUCUAUUUUUUAUUGACAAGAUAUUGUAGAAGUAUGUCUAAGUAAACACUGACAAAUUACAUACUGAAAUAAAUAAACACAGGGAUCUUACAGAUAUACAUAUGUACGUAAGCACAGGAGCAAAAAUGUCUCUUGCACUAUUUAGAUACGUUUUUUUUUUUUUUUUUUU